GGAGGGUAUAGCUCAGUGGUAGAGUGUGUGCUUAGCAUGCACAAGGUCCUGGGUUCAAUCCCCAGUACCUCCA
rnacentral:tRNA from 1 species